UUCUUAUCCAGAGUGGUGGAGGGACUGGCCCUAUGAAACCCGGCAACCUAUCAAUAUCAAUUGAUGAGGUGCUAAUUCCAACAAAAUCAGGUGACUGAUUUUGGCAGAUAAGAG
rnacentral:ncRNA from 2 species